UACGAAGGGGGCUAGCGUUGCUCGGAAUUACUGGGCGUAAAGCGCACGUAGGCGGGUCGUUAAGUCAGGGGUGAAAUCCUGGAGCUCAACUCCAGAACUGCCCUUGAUACUGGCGAUCUCGAGUUCGGGAGAGGUGAGUGGAACUGCGAGUGUAGAGGUGAAAUUCGUAGAUAUUCGCAAGAACACCAGUGGCGAAGGCGGCUCACUGGCCCGAUACUGACGCUGAGAUGCGAAAGCGUGGGGAGCAAACAGG
rnacentral:rRNA from 1 species